AUAUAGUGUUUUUUUGUCAUUCCACAAACAUUAGUCAUGGUCAGAGGUACAGAGAAUACAUGUUACUACAGGAUGCGUCUGAGUUGUCUGAGAAGGUAGUUGAGGCAG